rnacentral:rRNA from 1 species
GUCGACCGCCCUCUUUUAAAGGAGUGGCGCACGGUUGCGUAACGCGUGGGAACCUGCCCUUAGGUUCGGAAUAACUCAGAGAAAUUUGAGCUAAUACCGGAUAAUGUCUUCGGACCAAAGAUUUAUCGCCUUUGGAUGGGCCCGCGUAGGAUUAGAUAGUUGGUGGGGUAAUGGCCUACCAAGUCGACGAUCCUUAGCUGGUCUGAGAGGAUGAUCAGCCACACUGGGACUGAGACACGGCCCAGACUCCUACGGGAGGCAGCAGUGGGGAAUAUUGGACAAUGGGCGAAAGCCUGAUCCAGCAAUGCCGCGUGAGUGAUGAAGGCCUUAGGGUUGUAAAGCUCUUUUACCAGGGAUGAUAAUGACAGUACCUGGAGAAUAAGCUCCGGCUAACUCCGUGCCAGCAGCCGCGGUAAUACGGAGGGAGCUAGCGUUGUUCGGAAUUACUGGGCGUAAAGCGCACGUAGGCGGCUUUUCAAGUCAGGGGUGAAAUCCCGGGGCUCAACCCCGGAACUGCCCUUGAAACUGGAUGGCUAGAAUACUGGAGAGGUGAGUGGAAUUCCGAGUGUAGAGGUGAAAUUCGUAGAUAUUCGGAAGAUCGCCAGUGUCAAAGUCGUCUCGGCGCACAGUUAUAUACCCUG